UAUUGAUGUGUUUGGGUGUUAGCCUAUGUA
rnacentral:piRNA from 1 species